UCUCUCUCUCUCUCUGUGUCAGAUUUCUCUAUAUCGCCGCCGCUAGGGGCGCCGUUCACCACCACUCACACUUCGAAGCCUUCGCCAGAUCUCCGUCGGAGCCCCCUCUCCUCCACACAUAGCCCAGUAGCCCGAGGCCUUCCCUCUCUCUGUUUCUCUCUCUGCUACAUCUCUCAGGAACCACUCCAUGGCGCCGAGCACCUCCUGGUCUCUCUCUCAUCUCUACGCCUCGUCGCAGUUUGAAUUACUUAGCAGUUUGUUAAGGGGCUGUACGCUGUUAUGCUCUCGCAGGUGAGACUCUUAGAAGUCUUUAGGAAGUCUUGGAGUAAUAAAUAUCUUAGAUCAAAACCUGCUGCAUAGCACUAAAUCCAUCUUUUCGAACGAUUUGAUGGCAAACUCAAGUUCUACGUUUAUAAACUUGCUAAUCUUAUAAACCUAGAGUUCCCCUAGCCUCCAGGAAUUCCUGCUGCCUUUCAUAAUUUAUUUCAGCGCUAAAAGCUAUUGAAAUCAUUCCAAACGUAAUUUUUUUUUUUUUCCAAUAGGUUUUAACUGAUAGUCUAAAUAAGCAAUCCUAUCUUUAAAGCCCGAGGCUAUCACUACUUAUUUUAGAUGACUUUUAUCCCAAAUUGAAUUGUUUUCCUCCAUUAAUGACUUGCAUUUAAACAUGUUUAGACAUGCAUUGCUCCUUUUUUUGUGAUAACUCCAUUAAUGUCACGAAAUAAUGUAGAAUGGGUUGAAUUCAGAUGACCAUCAUUCAAAUCUUGAAAUAUUGGAUUCAAACAUAUGGCAGCUAUGCUAACGAGUAUUGACUAUGAGGUUGUGUGUAUUCACCUUGCCUCUUUUACCAUCACUUUUUUUUUUACACAAUUGCAGCAGUUACUGCAGGUUUUGACUUUUCAUAUUGAAGCAGUUACCCCGGAUGCUAUUUUAUUCUCUAAUUGCUGCUUAGUAGCGGUGUUUAUGUUGCAACAGACGUUAUGCUGGGCAAUUUCACUGAUCUAGCUAUAUGCGUGGUUAUGCUAAAGUGUUACAUGUUUCCUUCAUGGCUCUCUGUUGGCCAGGUUGUAGUGCAGAAAGAAAGUUGAAGAUCCUCGUUUCACCUGCCACCUGCUAAAGAUUUUUUUUUGCUUAAAUAAAGAAUCUCCUUAGGAGGUGGCCAACAAAUUAAGAUGAGAAGUUGGAAAAUAUAUGAUACCUUGUGAACUAGUUAUUAGUAGAAUACCAAUUGCAAUAUGUUCUCUUCGUAUGGUGAAGUAUGCAUCUUAUGAAGUGUAUAUGUUCUCUUUAUCGAGAUUGAAUGCUCCUAUUGGUUUUCUUGCUAGGUUUAUAUGCUCUCUCUUUAUGUGCUUAAUUUUCAUACAGAAUAGAUCUAGGCAGAGUUUUUUGUUGAUCAUUCUGUGGCUUGUCCUUUAUACUUGGGAUUGACAUACUUAAUAAAAAAAAAAUACUUGGGAUUGACACUAUGAUCCAUGUUCUACAAUUCCAACAUGGACAUCACAUAUUACAGGUAUUUGGCUCUUCUUGCAAAGUAUCCUGUGUCAACAAAAGCUCUGACAUCUGCGCUUUUAACUUUAAUUGGAGAUUUGAUCUGCCAGGCUAAAGUUUGAUGAUGAGUGAGUGACAGAAGAAGAUGGAAAGAGGGCAUUAAAGGAGCAGCAUGGGUGAGGAAGAGGUAAUAUCUAUCUGCCUGUUGGUUCUAUGUAAUUUCUUAGUAAGUUAAUUUUUAUUUAUAGUUAAUUGAUGCCUUCUUGUUAUGCAAUGAGAAGGACAUUGCAAAACACCUCAGGGUAAGAUGUUUAAUAUUUCAUUAGUCUGAUUUUCUCACACUGCACUCUGAUUUGAAAGAUAAUCUGCUUGAAGGACCACUUCCUGAAAGCCUCAAAAAUUUAAGCCACUUGAGAAGACUGUAAGACUUAGAACACUCUUUUUUUGUUAAUUCAAAAAACUGAAAUAAAAGCCCAUAUUUGCCAUUUUCAUAUGUCAAGCUUGAAUUGUUUCUGUCUGCAUAGUUAUGGUCCAUCUACUUUUAUAAUCAUGCUUCUUCGAGGAAAAGUAUUUUCUAAGUUUCAUUAUCUUGCAGCCUUCUUUCUGGAAACAAUUUUACAGAUGCAAUACCGAAAACAUUUGGCAAUUUAAAUAAUUUAGAAGAGUUGUAAGUUAUGUGAUUCUAUAAACUUUAUUUGGAGAUGCAGCUUUUAGAAUUCAGAAAUUCUUAAAACUUGAGCUAAUGCUUGCAAUAGGAUAGAUGGGAGCAGAAUAUAAGGGAAAAUAUCCGAUUUUGUUGGGAAUUGGAUCAAUCUUACAAGUCUGUGAGUCUUGUACUUUCAUUCCUUUUAUCUGCCAUCUUUCCUUUCUUGGAGUCAUAAAAGUUUAGUUUUUUUCUGUCCUAUCUGAGGAUUGUUAUGGAUGUAGGUUCUUAACCAACAACUCAUUAAGUGGGGAAGUACCUCAGUGGGUAUUGGACAGCAAAAAGAACUUGAGUCUACUUUAUAAGCUGAGUACCUCUUAAUUUCAUUUGGCUGUAAAAUUUUCUAUACACCGGUGGAUUUCUUGCUGCUGUUACUUUUUUUUUUUUAAUUUUUUUUUUUCUGGGUUGUUUGAUUGUGACUCAUAAGAGCUUAAAUUGUGACAUUUUAUUCGAUUUUCAUUCUUUCUAUGUUGAAGAGGUAUUGCAUGUGUUGUUGGAUCAUAAUGACCUUUUUGGGUGUGAGUUGGGAAGUUCAAGUAAUUUAUGUAUUUUGUUUUUGC